CUAGUACUCCCUCCGUCCGGAAAUACUUGUCGAAGAAAUGGAUGAAUCUAGACGUAUUUUAGUUAUAAAUGCAUCCAAUUUUAUCCAUCUCUUCAACAAGUAUUUCGGGACGGAGGAAGUACAAA
rfam:Triticum aestivum genome assembly, contig: Triticum_aestivum_CS42_TGACv1_scaffold_329068_4BS